UACGUAGGGCGCAAGCGUUGUCCGGAAUUAUUGGGCGUAAAGAGCUCGUAGGCGGUCUGUUACGUCCGCUGUGAAAACCCGGGGCUUAACCCUGGGCUGGCAGUGGAUACGGGUAGACUAGAGGCAGGUAGGGGAGAAUGGAAUUCCCGGUGUAGCGGUGAAAUGCGCAGAUAUCGGGAAGAACACCCGUGGCUAAGGCGGCUCUCUAGUACGGUACUGACGCUGAGACGCGAAAGCGUGGGGAGCGAACAGG
rnacentral:rRNA from 1 species